AGUAUCAGCCGCGCCGCAGUCGGAGGAAAUAGACGCGGGGCCUGAGGCUCCUGGACUUGAGCAAGCCUGUUACCCUCUGUGAGCCUCAACUUCUCUAUGUGUAACAAAUGGCCAACUUUAUGGGAUUGUCAAGAAGCUGAAAUGAGACCCUGGCUGGAGGAUAUUUUAUGGACUAUAAAUUCCUAAACAAUUAUAAUAACUUAGUUAUUUAUCCUAUCCAUGGAUCACCUGGAAGUUUACAAUGUGAUUUAAAAUGCAUUCUAUCAUUCCACCGACCUGCAGUGAAUUUUGUUGUCAUUAUUACUCCAGGGAUACCUAAAGGGGAAGUUUGUUUAUAAUUCGUACCCACUCCUUGUAGAAAGGAUUCAAGACAGCCGAUGAUGAAAACACCCAUGCUUGCAAGUGAAGGUUCUGCCUGUCACUUCUCGCAGAGGCUGCAGAAAAGGCCCAGGAGGCUGUUGAUGACAUGAACGACCACCAGGAGAAGCUGGAGCAGGCUGAUGCACAGAAGGGCGGAGAAGAGGGACACGUGCCAGACAACAGCUGCAGAGGGCUCCAGGCAGACGGAGUUCCAGAGCGAACGGUCAUACAGAUAAUUCCUAUCCCAAAAAAUAAGGAGACCAGGGGUCAGGCGAUAAGUAAGGAAAGCCAAACAGGCAACCCCAGUAGAAAACUGGGGUCUCCCCUGACCGGGUCAUGGGACUGGGCUCAUGAGGGUGACCGUUACUGCUCCAUUUGCAAUUUUCUGAGUAUCAGAGGAGCAAGAUGCUAGGAUGUGUGACCCAAAGGAGCUUGUAGUUCGUCUGUGUGUCUUUUUGUCUCUCUCUCUCUCUCUGUCUGAAAAGACCAAGCCCAAGCCUCCACCCAUUUACCUACUAUGCAGGUCUUUGAAUGGGUAACCAUAUUUCCAAGCUUGUGUCUGAUUGAAGGAUGAAACAUCAAACAUGCAAAAAGGACCAUCUUUCAGAGCAACUCCAGAAGUGACAAAGCAAAUCAGGGCUCCAAGUAAAGCCAGGCCACCUGACAACAGAGCAGUAAGCACCUGCGGAGGGAGGAGAAACACUGAGCUAAGACGGGGUCGCAGCUGGGGAGCCUGCGGAGGGAGGAGAAACGCUGAGCUAAGACGGGGUCGCAGCUGGGGAGUCUGUGGGGCGGUCUGCACAGGUCUGACUUCUCUGGUCUCAGUGUUCUUCCGUCCUGUCAUGGGGGAGAAUUCUGUCCAUGGCACCCCCUUUGAAGCAUAACCCAUGGUGGGGAGGCCGUGAGGGGUUUCUAGGAGAGAAAGGACCAAGAAGCAGAAUCGCAGGCCCCGGAUCUCCCUGACCGUGAGUUCGCCUGAGCUGCUCAGCAGCUUGGCAUCACAAACCUUUUGCACAUUACAGCCAUUCAGCCUCUGAGCUAAAGAAGAAGCUACCACAGGCCCACCACUGACUCUUCUAAGGAAAAGCUGCAUUUUCAAAAGUUCCAGAGUCAUGGAGUCAUUCUCCCACUGAGGUCAAGCUGGUUUGGAGUUGGGGAGGGAUCAGACAAAGGUGCAUAGUAAGUUUUGACUCUGAGUUAAAGGAGUCAAGAUGAAUCAGUAAGCCUAGGGCAGUGGUUCCCAAAAUGGGGUCCCUGCCCAGCCGCAUCACAUCACCUGAGAACCUGUUAGAAAUGCAAAACUUCCCCGCCAUCCUGAAUCAGAAACUCUGGGGAGGGAGCCCAGCAAUCCGUGUUCCGGCAAAAGCCCUCCAGGUGAUUCUCAUGCACAUUCAAGUGUCAGAACUACGUGCCACGGGGAAAACCAGAAUGAGAACAGACAGUGAAUGAAAUGUGCAAGUGUUUAUUUAUUUAUCUAUGUACUUAUUUAUUUAUUUAUUUUGAAACGGAGUCUCGCUCUGUCGCCCAGGCUGGAGUGCAGUGGCGCCAUCUCGGCUCACUGCAAGCUCCGCCUCCCGGGUUCAAGAGAUUUUCCUGCCUCAGCCUCCUGAGUUGCUGGGAUUACAGGCGCCCACCACCACGCCCAGCUAAUUUUUGUAUUUUUGGUAGAGACGGGGUUUCACCAUGUUGGCCAGGCUGGUCUCAAACUCCUGACCUCAGGUGAUCCGCCCAUCUUGGCCUCCCAAAGUGCUGGGAUUACAGGCGUGAGCCACCGCGCCUGGCCUAUAUUUGAUUUUUUAACAUGUAACUGAGUCAGUGGGCUUCCCAACAUGUGGGCUGCAGAUAUCAGAGCAGGCUGUGGAGUUACCAUAAGGCCACAGAUUCAUGUCUGAGAACGAGUGUGUGUGUGUGUGUG
rnacentral:lncRNA from 10 species